rnacentral:rRNA from 1 species
CCAAGGUGAAGCCUCUGACUGGGACUAAGUCGUAACAAGGUUUCCGUAGGUGAACCUGAGAAGGAUCA